UAUCGAGGGUGUGACGGAGAAGGAUAGUGUGUGCUAGCGAUUGGAAAUGCUAGUCUAAGCGUUUAGGGAGUUACAGUAGGCAAAUCCGCUGUAACAAUUCUGAUGCGUGAUGGGGAAGGUCAUUAAGACCGAAGUACAUGAUUCCAUGCUUCCAAGAAAAGCAUCUAGAGAGAGAAGUAGUGCCCGUACCGCAAACCGACACAGGUAGAUGAGGAGAGAAUCCUAAGGCCGGCGGAAGAAUUGCAGUUAAGGAACUAGGCAAAUUGACCCCGUAAGUUCGCGAGAAGGGGUGCCUGUGAGAGCAGGCCGCAGAGAAUAGGCCCAAGCAACUGUUUAGCAAAAACACAGGUCUCUGCUAAAGCGUAAGCUGAUGUAUAGGGGCUGACGCCUGCCCGGUGCUGGAAGGUUAAGGGGAACACUUAGCGCAAGCGAAGGUGUGAACUUAAGCCCCAGUAAACGGCGGCCGUAACUAUAACGGUCCUAAGGUAGCGAAAUUCCUUGUCAGGUAAGUUCUGACCCGCACGAAUGGCGUAAUGACUUGGGCACUGUCUCAACUGCAAAUCCGGCGAAGUUGUAGUGCGAGUGAAGAUGCUCGCUACCCGCGAUUGGACGGAAAGACCCCGUAGAGCUUUACUGUAGCUAGCAUUGAAUUCCGGUAUUGUCUGUACAGGAUAGGUGGGAGACUGGGAAACUAGGGCGUCAGCCUUAGUGGAGUCAACCUUGGGAUACCACCCUGACAGUACUGGGGUUCUAACAGGACGCCAUGAAGCUGGUGACUGGACAUUGUUAGGUGGGCAGUUUGACUGGGGCGGUCGCCUCCUAAAAAGUAACGGAGGCGCCCAAAGGUUCCCUCAGAACGGUCGGAAAUCGUUCGUAGAGUGCAAAGGCAGAAGGGAGCCUGACUGCGAGACCCACAAGUCGAGCAGGGACGAAAGUCGGGCUUAGUGAUCCGGUGGUACCUCGUGGGAGGGCCAUCGCUCAACGGAUAAAAGCUACCUCGGGGAUAACAGGCUGAUCUCCCCCAAGAGUCCACAUCGACGGGGAGGUUUGGCACCUCGAUGUCGGCUCGUCGCAUCCUGGGGCUGUAGUAGGUCCCAAGGGUUGGGCUGUUCGCCCAUUAAAGCGGCACGCGAGCUGGGUUCAGAACGUCGUGAGACAGUUCGGUCCCUAUCCGUCGCGGGCGUAGGAAAUUUGAGAGGAGCUGUCCUUAGUACGAGAGGACCGGGAUGGACUGACCUCUGGUGCACCAGUUGUUCUGCCAAGAGCAUGGCUGGGUAGCUAAGUCGGGAAGGGAUAAACGCUGAAAGCAUCUAAGCGUGAAGCCCCCCUCAAGAUGAGAUUUCCCAUAGCAUAAGCUAGUAAGACCCCUUGAAGAACACAAGGUUGAUAGGUCAGAGGUGGAAGUGCGGUAACGUAUGUAGCUGACUGAUACUAAUAGGUCGAGGGCUUGACC
rnacentral:rRNA from 1 species